GAUGAACGCUGGCGGCGUGCCUAAUACAUGCAAGUCGAGCGAACGGACGAGAAGCUUGCUUCUCUGAUGUUAGCGGCGGACGGGUGAGUAACACGUGGAUAACCUACCUAUAAGACUGGGAUAACUUCGGGAAACCGGAGCUAAUACCGGAUAAUAUUUUGAACCGCAUGGUUCAAAAGUGAAAGACGGUCUUGCUGUCACUUAUAGAUGGAUCCGCGCUGCAUUAGCUAGUUGGUAAGGUAACGGCUUACCAAGGCAACGAUGCAUAGCCGACCUGAGAGGGUGAUCGGCCACACUGGAACUGAGACACGGUCCAGACUCCUACGGGAGGCAGCAGUAGGGAAUCUUCCGCAAUGGGCGAAAGCCUGACGGAGCAACGCCGCGUGAGUGAUGAAGGUCUUCGGAUCGUAAAACUCUGUUAUUAGGGAAGAACAUAUGUGUAAGUAACUGUGCACAUCUUGACGGUACCUAAUCAGAAAGCCACGGCUAACUACGUGCCAGCAGCCGCGGUAAUACGUAGGUGGCAAGCGUUAUCCGGAAUUAUUGGGCGUAAAGCGCGCGUAGGCGGUUUUUUAAGUCUGAUGUGAAAGCCCACGGCUCAACCGUGGAGGGUCAUUGGAAACUGGAAAACUUGAGUGCAGAAGAGGAAAGUGGAAUUCCAUGUGUAGCGGUGAAAUGCGCAGAGAUAUGGAGGAACACCAGUGGCGAAGGCGACUUUCUGGUCUGUAACUGACGCUGAUGUGCGAAAGCGUGGGGAUCAAACAGGAUUAGAUACCCUGGUAGUCCACGCCGUAAACGAUGAGUGCUAAGUGUUAGGGGGUUUCCGCCCCUUAGUGCUGCAGCUAACGCAUUAAGCACUCCGCCUGGGGAGUACGACCGCAAGGUUGAAACUCAAAGGAAUUGACGGGGACUCGCACAAGCGGUGGAGCAUGUGGUUUAAUUCGAAGCAACGCGAAGAACCUUACCAAAUCUUGACAUCCUUUGACAACUCUAGAGAUAGAGCCUUCCCCUUCGGGGGACAAAGUGACAGGUGGUGCAUGGUUGUCGUCAGCUCGUGUCGUGAGAUGUUGGGUUAAGUCCCGCAACGAGCGCAACCCUUAAGCUUAGUUGCCAUCAUUAAGUUGGGCACUCUAAGUUGACUGCCGGUGACAAACCGGAGGAAGGUGGGGAUGACGUCAAAUCAUCAUGCCCCUUAUGAUUUGGGCUACACACGUGCUACAAUGGACAAUACAAAGGGCAGCGAAACCGCGAGGUCAAGCAAAUCCCAUAAAGUUGUUCUCAGUUCGGAUUGUAGUCUGCAACUCGACUACAUGAAGCUGGAAUCGCUAGUAAUCGUAGAUCAGCAUGCUACGGUGAAUACGUUCCCGGGUCU
rnacentral:rRNA from 1 species